UAGCCGGACGUUUGGCGUUUUGGAAACAGGCUCUGCCGAGAACAGGAGUGAUGAGAUGUUGCGUCUCUGGGAAAGCACGGAUCUGCAGGGCUCUUGUGCCUGUGAAUGGGCUGCACGGGGACGGUGAAGACCAGGAACAGCUUUCAGGGCUGGCACCUUCCUUGUGGGAGGCCGAGGAGCGGGACGAGU